rnacentral:rRNA from 1 species
CCUACGGGAGGCAGCAGUGGGGAAUCUUCCGCAAUGGGCGAAAGCCUGACGGAGCAACGCCGCGUGAGGGAAGAAGGCCUUCGGGUUGUAAACCUCUGUUUUCAGGGACGAAGAAAAUGACGGUACCUGAAGAGUAAGCCCCGGGUAAAUACGUGCCAGCAGCCGCGGUAAUACGUAGGGGGCAAGCGUUUUCUGGAUUUUCUGGGGGUAAAGGGCGCGUAGGUGGUGCAUUAAGUUCGAGGUGAAAAUUCGGGGCUCAACCCCGGGAGGCCUCUGAUAGUGGUGGACUUGAGUGCAGGAGAGGGGAGCAGAAUUCCCCGUGUAGCGCUGAAAAGUGUGGAUAUUGGGAGGAAUACCAGUGGCGAAGGGGGCUCUCUGGACUGUAACUGACACUGAGGCGCGAAACGUAGGGGAGCCAACAGGAUUAGAUACCCUGGUAGUCCACGCCGUAAACGAUGAGUGCUAGGUGUUGCGGGUAUCGACCUCCU